rnacentral:rRNA from 1 species
CUUGACAUCCAGAGAAUUUAGCAGAGAUGCUUUAGUGCCUUCGGGAACUCUGAGACAGGUGCUGCAUGGCUGUCGUCAGCUCGUGUUGUGAAAUGUUGGGUUAAGUCCGCAACGAGCGCAACCCUUAUCCUUUGUUGCCAGCACGUAAUGGUGGGAACUCAAAGGAGACUGCCGGUGAUAAACCGGAGGAAGGUGGGGAUGACGUCAAGUCAUCAUGACCCUUACGAGUAGGGCUACACACGUGCUACAAUGGCGUAUACAAAGAGAAGCGACCUCGCGAGAGCAAGCGGACCUCAUAAAGUGCGUCGUAGUCCGGAUUGGAGUCUGCAACUCGACUCCAUGAAGUCGGAAUCGCUAGUAAUCGUAAAUCAGAAUGUUACGGUGAAUACGUUCCCGGGCCUUGUACACACCGCCCGUCACACCAUGGGAGUGGGUUGCAAAAGAAGUAGAUAGCUUAACCUUCGGGAGGGCGUUUACCACUUUGUGAUUCAUGACUGGGGUGAAGUCGUAACAAGGUAAGCGUAGUGCU